CUUGGUCAUUUAGAGGAAGUAAAAGUCGUAACAAGGUCUCCGUUGGUGAACCAGCGGAGGGAUCAUUACCGAGUUUACACUCAUAACCCUUUGUGAACAUUAUAACUUGUUGCUUCGGCGGCUUCUUCGGGAGCCCGCCGGCGUUUCAGUAUCUCUGUUUGUACCCGACGAUACAUCUGAGUGUUCUUAGCGAACUAUAAAAACUUUUAACAACGGAUCUCUUGGUUCUAGCAUCGAUGAAGAACGCAGCCCCCCCGUGCCCCCGCCCCGCCCGCCGCGCGCGGCGA
rnacentral:rRNA from 1 species